rnacentral:rRNA from 1 species
UAGGGAAUCUUCGGCAAUGGGGGGAACCCUGACCGAGCAACGCCGCGUGAGUGAAGAAGGUUUUCGGAUCGUAAAGCCCUGUUGUUAAGGAAGAACGAGUGUGAGAAUGGAAAGUUCAUACCGUGACGGUACUUAACCAGAAAGGGACGGCUAACUACGUGCCAGCAGCCGCGGUAAUACGUAGGUCCCGAGCGUUGUCCGGAUUUAUUGGGCGUAAAGCGAGCGCAGGCGGUUAGAUAAGUCUGAAGUUAAAGGCAGUGGCUCAACCAUUGUAGGCUUUGCAAACUGUUUAACUUGAGUGCAGAAGGGGAGAGUGGAAUUCCAUUUCUAGCGGUGAAAUGCGUAGAUCUAUGGAGGAACACCGGUGGCGAAAGCGGCUCUCUGGUCUGUAUCUGACGCUGAGGCUCGAAAGCGUGUGUAGCGAACAUG